rfam:Schistosoma margrebowiei strain Zambia genome assembly, scaffold: SMRZ_contig0000521
AUCCAGUUGACAAGUCCAAAAUAGGACAAAACGCGCUUUCUAGAU